AGCGCAGGCGGUUUGAUAAGUCUGAAGUAAAAGGCUGUGGCUUAACCAUAGUAUGCUUUGGAAACUGUCAAACUUGAGUGCAGAAGGGGAGAGUGGAAUUCCAUGUGUAGCGGUGAAAUGCGUAGAUAUAUGGAGGAACACCGGUGGCGAAAGCGGCUCUCUGGUCUGUAACUGACGCUGAGGCUGAAAGCGUGGGGGAGCAAACA
rnacentral:rRNA from 1 species